rnacentral:rRNA from 1 species
AGUAACACGUGAGCAACCUGCCUUUCAGAGGGGAAUAACGUUUGGAAACGAACGCUAAUACCGCAUAACAUUGGGAUAUGGCAUCAUGACCCAAUCAAAGAUUUAUCGCUGAAAGAUGGGCUCGCGCCCGAUUAGGUAGUUGGUGAGAUAAUAGCCCAUCAAGCCGACGAUCGGUAGCCGGACUGAGAGGUUGAACGGCCACAUUGGGACUGAGACACGGCCCAGACUCCUACGGAAGGCAGCAG